CCCUGCGCUAUUUUCCAUUUCUGCUUUCUCUCUCCAGCCUCUUUUUCUUCUCUGUUUUUAGGUCAUCUUCUCCGACGAAGCAAUCCUACGAGACACAUAUUCUUCUUUCUCUUUUCUCCUUUUCCCUUCGCGUUUUUUCCUUUUCCUCUUCGCCUUUUCUAUUUUUCCUUUUCCAUUUUGUCUGUACCUUUUCUCCUUUGCUCUUUUGUGUUCUUUUUGUAGUUAAUUAUUUUUUGGAUUGUUGUGACGUAAUAAAUUUAUUUUGAUGCACUGUGUGCCAUUUUUUCAAAACCAAGUUUAUUGGUAUUUUGAAUAUUUUUCGAGUUCAUAAAACCCCGUGAAUAUUUUCAUUCCCCUUUUCUUAUUCUUCAUGUUUAUUAUUUUUUUUCUUGUUGGUGGUUUUAUCUAUAAUCUUUGGGAGUUUCAUUUGAUUUAUUCCUUUUUGGUGUUGAUUGAUUCUCAAGAUUGUUUCCUUUUUAUCUUGUAGUGCUUGAUAACUUAAGUAAUGUACUUUACUCACUGUAUUAGGUUCAGAAAAGGUAGUGAAAUUGUUUGUAUUUGACUGAUAGUCCCUUCCCUUUUGUGUGCUGAAAUUCCUAAUAGUUAAUGAAUUGGAAGAAAUGUAGAAGACCUAAAUCCAUUCUUAGUUAUUAAUGUGAUUCUUACUGGUGUUGGUUUGUUCUCAAGAUUGAUUCACCAAAUCUUAUUUAUUUUAUUUUAUGUCAACUUUUGCUUCACCAAAUCAGCUCACAACCUGCUCAUCUGCUCAUAAUAUUAGUAAUAUUAGUAGUUCACUUGAUUAUUUAUGCCCAUGACAGGUGAUGCAGUACCAAUUCAUUUCUACAUGCAUGUGUUUCAAUGAUUGCAUAUUUGUUGAAUGCCUCAUUUUCAAUUUACACACCUGUACAUUAUUGCAGUAUUGAUAAUUUUUUUCUUAAUUUUAAAUAAAAGGUAAGGAAAUGUUGAAAUUCUUUUCAAAGUCUAUAAUGAUUCUCUGCCUCUGUUGUUUCUCUGCUUCACACGAACUUAGUAGUUGAUGCCUGAAGAUUUUUCAAUGUUCGUAUUGCUGCUUGGAAUUAAUCUUCUUUGGAAUAGUGUAGUUGACUUGAACAAAGAAGGAAAAGCCAAAUAUCGAAGUUCAUAAUGUUCUCUCUGAUAUGGACGUUUUAAGCCAACAGAAAAACAAUAACUUGACUUUUCCAAUUGCUUGCUUUCUGGUUUACAGGGAAGUUUAUUCUUUUCUAUUUGUUCCGGAGUUUGGUUUGUUAGAUGGUGGCUACUGUUACAUGUAAUUGGAACUUAAAAGUCGGCUUGAAUAAGAAAAGUGGAAAAGAAGGCAAAGAUAGAUGAAAAGGUGGCUGAAGUGUAACAGACUAAGGGUAUUCACUCGAGGACAAAGAGGGCAAAGAUACUAGAAGACUUGUAUGCUCGUUUGCACCAACGUCAUUCUCAAGCCAAGCCAAAGAGUAGAAGAGACUUUUUUAUUUUAUGGAAAUUAUUGGAAGUUUUACGAUAAAUUCAUGGAAUAUAAAUGAAUACAAAUCUUAUUUUAUAAAGUUGAUUAUACGAGAUUGAGUCAGGUUUUAAAAUCUAUUUCUUAAAAGAAGUAUCUUGUUUAAUUUCUACGAUGUUUUAACUCAUCAAAAUCAUGAAUUAUGUAGGGCAAUAAUACCUCUGACGACGAAAUAUGGAUAGACAACGUUUCCUUACAACCAUUCACAGAUAAAGAAUGGAGUUCUCAUCAAGAUCAUGUUCCUUAUCAAUGCUACAAUGACUCUUUUUAUAAGCAUUCCACCGUUUUCCUUACUAUCCCCUGCCCAAAGCAGGUGAAAGAUUCCCAGUAGCAAAUCCAAAUUUGGCUCCAAGAUGGCGUUGCAGAUAAGGCAAAGAUGAAGUAGCACGACGAGAGUUAUGGGAAUAACUAUGGGGGACUUAUCAUGUUUUUAAAGUAAUUUUAUGUCUUUGAAUAAUGAAUUUGAUAUUUGUAAGGUUUUAACUUGUAAGACGCUUAAACUUUUGAUGGUUUAGUUUCGCGAUGUUAAUUUAAAAAAAAAUUGGCGUAAAAUUUUGGAUUUUGUUAUUUUCUAGUGGCACUCCGUAAGGGGUGUUACAAGUGCAUAGUAUGAAAGUGCAAUGUCAAUGUUUUAAACAAAAGGAAACAAACAGUGUGAGGGUUACAGGAAUACACAUUUCUCCCUUCGGGCCCUAGUAAAGGUUCACUGCUUCGGAUUCAAGGUCAACUAUAUGCAAUCUCACCAUCUCCUGCAAAAUAACCAGAAAAAAUCUCAGACUGAUAUAAACAUGUUUUCUAGCCUAGGGUUCAAUAUCCGACAAAUAUAAAACACAAACGAGAAUAAUACAAAUAUGAAAAAGAAAGGGGACAAAAACAUAAAGCACAACCACAUCAAAUUCGCGCAUUUAAUUAAAUGGCCUGACUCUCUAUUUCCCCAGUGGAGUCGCCAUCUGUCGCAAUCGGAAUCGCGACGGGACGACGACCCAAAAGAGAAACGGGUUUAGAAAAAGAGAUUUGGAGUCAUCACCAUAGUUUAUUCUGGAAAACUACGAGAAAACCGUAAAGAAAGGCACGGUCCACGAAAACCAGAUUCUGGGUUCGGGAGUCGGUUACGCAUAGGGAAGGUAUUAGCACCCUACAGCGCAUGCCCGAAGGCAGUCCCUUUAACUAAAUAGGCGAAUGUGAUGUGGUUUUCAAAAUGUUUAACUAUCCCCUAAAAUAAAACUCCAAAGAACAAAAUAUAUUUUUUAGUUUUUUGGGCAUGACAAGGAUUGACCUUACUCUUACGUAUUCUCGUUCAGAGUGAGAAAUCAGGGUUACGUAGUUCUUUUGAAACUGUUUGAGAAGUUUGUUUGAAAAUUUGUUUUGAAAUUAUUUUAGAUUUUGGGAAGUGAACCUGACAAGGACUAGUCUUGCUCCUACGUAUCUCCACUCUUGAUGGAGAAUCAAGGAUCACGUAAUUCUGACUAUUUUUCUUGAUUUGAAAGCGAUUGAUAUUUUUUAUUUUGGGAUUUUAUGGUUUUUUUUAGUAUUUUUGGAUUAUCUUGAAGAAAAAGUUAUCAUAAUGUAAUCAACAAGUUGGAUAUAAAACAAAAUAGAUAAUAAAAUUAUUUUUACAGUUUUUCUAAAAAAAGUUUUGUAAUUUUUAUGAUGUUUUUUUACAUAGUUGACAUGAUUGAGAAAGAUUAAGAUGAAAAAAUAAUUACACAAAUAUUUAAAUUUACUUGCAAGAAAACUACAUUUUUUUAAUUUUUUAUAUUUAAUUAUCAAGCAAAUCCAAGACUUGACAUGAUAAUCAAAAUGAUUAUGAAAAAUGUAAUUAUCAAGCAAGUACGAGACUUGAUGAAAUUAUUAUUAUGAAAAACGUAAUUAUCAAGCAAGUUUGAGACUUGACAUGACAAUAAUUAUUAUUAUGAAAAAUUGAAUUAUCAAGGAAAUCUGAAACUUGACAUGAUAAUUGAUAUUUUUGUGUUUUUUUUAGAGAUAAAAAACCAAAUUGGUUAUAAAUGAAAAUUUAGAAUAAAAAACAAUAAAAAUAAUUAUGGAACAAUAAAACCAAAUUUAAUAAGAUAAUUCAAAACAAAAAGAAGAGGUGAAGGGAUAAGAACCUGGAUGAGAAGACAAUGAUAGUCCGAUCAAGAUGCGAGUGAAAAUAGAGGUUUCAAGAGAUGUAGAUGUUGAUAUGGAGGAGAAGAGGUGUGUUGAAGUGUUUCAUGUGUGGUGUGUGUAAAAGAAUGAUAAUUGGGGAGAUAAGGAAUGUGUGGAAAGAUAUGUAGUGUGGGAGAGAAGAAUGAAGUAGAGUUUUUGGAUGGAAAUGAAGAGGUUUGGUGUUAGAAAGAAAAGAUGGAUAUUGUGUAAUUGUGUGAGUGAAAAAGGAGUGAAGAAUGUGGGUAUUUAUAGAGUUAAGGAUGGAGAGAGUAUUAAAUACAAUAUAAUUUUUUAAAAAAUGAGAGGAAAAAUAAAAAAAUUAAAGUGAAAAAUAAGUAAAAGAAAUAAUAUAAAAAGUUGGUGGAGAGAUUAGGUGAAAUAAAAAAGAGUAAAUAAUAAAAAGUUAACGUGGAAAAUAAGUGAAAGAAAUAAUGUAAAAAGUUGGUGGAGAAAGUAGAUGAAAUAAAAUAUAGAAAAUAGUAAAAAAUAAGUGAAAGAAAUAAUAUAAAAAGUGGAUGGAAAAAGUAGGUGAAAUAAAAUAUAGGAAAUAGUAAAAGUUAAUGUGGAAAAUAAGUGAAAGAAAUAAUAUAAAAAGUGGAUAGAGAAAGUAGGUGAAAUCAUAAAAAAUGUUGAUGAAGAAGAUAUAAUUAAAAAAUGUAAGUGGAAUAAUUAGAAAAGAUGAUAUAUAAAAAUUAAUAAGGAAAUGAGGUGGAAAAAGUAAAUGAAAAAGGUAGAUGAUGUGGAAUGUGAUACGGAGGGUGAGGUGGAUGGUGAUGUGGAGAGUGGGGUGUGAUAAGAGAAAAUGGGUGGUGAGGAGGUAAAAAAGUGAGAUUAUUUUGGACCAUUGAAUUAAGGAAUAAAAAUUUAAUUUGGGGGUGCAAAUAAUAUUUUUUUUAUUCUUUUGUUCUUUUUUUUUAUUUAUUUUUGUGAUGAAUUUAUUUACCCGGACGAAAUUGGGUAUUGACACACGUUGAUGAGGUAUUUACACUAAUUCAUCUUCGAAAGGGCAUUGACGCAUAUGUUGGUGAGAGGUCUUCCAAGACUAUUAUAAGUCAACUUUUCAACAAUAUUCAAUCUUCUAUUAUUUAUUUCUUUCAUACUUUGAACUUCAUGUUACUAACACUUUGUAUAUUAUAUAACAAGAAGAUUUCUCCCUUAGACUCUCAUAGGCCAAAUCUGAGAUAGAAUUUACUCCUAAUGAUGGAUCAAGAGUAGAUACUAGUGACGAUGACAUCAUCAAGACCCAGUGUUGGGUUGAUGUCAUCGGUGUUAAGAAGAAAGGACGAUUAUAUGGAGCAAGACAACUUACUAUCAAUUAUAGUGCUGGAAGAGGCAUAUUGAGACACCAACCAUCUGCAUCUAACACUUUUGAUGAGAGCAAUAUCGACAUAAACUAGAAGCUCGUGACCAGGCUUAUGAUGCACUUCUACAAAGAUGUGAGAAUCUUGAAAAUCUGGUCAUGACAUUAUUACCUCAGCAAAGACAGAAUCAGUCCACCCCAUCAUUUUUCCAGCAAGAAUGCCCACCAAUGCAGCCCACCCCAAUGUCGUCAUUUGUUUAACAACAACUGCCUCCCCAACAAUUGCCUCUACAAGAAGAAGAUUUUGAUGAUUAUGAUGACUACUAGGAGUUGAUGAACUUUUUAAAACAUUUAUGUGUUGCUUUUUUAUUUUAAAACUUAGUUGUUUUAUCUGUUGCUUGAACAAUCAUAUAAUAACUAUUUGUUUCAAUAUUGAGCAAAUUGUCUGAAUUGAUAA